AAUAGAUACCCGGGUAGUCCUAGCCGUAAACGAUGAACACUAGGCGUAGUCGGUAUCGACCCCGGCUGUGCCGUAGCUAACGCAUUAAGUGUUCCGCCUGGGGAGUACGGCCGCAAGGCUAAAACUCAAAGGAAUUGACGGGGGCCCGCGACAAGCAGCGGAGCGUGUGGUUUAAUUCGUCGCAACGCGAGGAACCUUACCAGGGCUUGACAUGUGGCGGAAAACGGCGGAAACGUCGUCCUCCCGCAAGGGACCGUCAUGCAGGUGUUGCAUGGCUGUCGUCAGCUCGUGUCGUGAGAUGUUGGGUUAAGUCCCGCAACGAGCGCAACCCCCGUGGCAUGUUGUAUCUCUCAUGCCAGACUGCCGAGAGAAACUCGGAGGAAGGUGGGGAUGACGCCAAGUCAGCAUGGCCCUUACGUCCUGGGCUACACACACGCUACAAUGGCCGGUACAACGGGUUGCCAAACCGCGAGGUGGAGCUAAUCCCUUAAAGCCGGUCUCAGUUCGGAUUGCAGGCUGCAACUCGCCUGCAUG
rnacentral:rRNA from 1 species